rnacentral:rRNA from 1 species
AGCGAACGCUAGCGGAUGGCUUAACACAUGCAAGUCGAGCGGGCAGCUUCGGCUGUCUAGCGGCGAACGGGUGCGUAACACGUGGGUAAUCUGCCUUCUGGUGGGGGAUAACCCGACGAAAGUCGGGCUAAUACCGCAUAUGGCCUACGGGUCAAAGCAGCAAUGCGCCAGUUGAUGAGCCCGCGGCCCAUUAUUUAAUCCUAGUUGGCGGGGUAACGGCCCACCAAGGGUACGAUGGGUAGCUGGUCUGAGAGGACGAUCAGCCACACUGGGACUGAGACACGGCCCAGACUCCUACGGGAGGCAGCAGUGGGGAAUAUUGCGCAAUGGGCGAAAGCCUGACGCAGCCAAUCCGCGUGGGUGAUGAAGGCC